CCCGAGUGAUGGAAUGGGUUCCCUCCUUUCGCAUACUCAGAUCCAAGAGUUCCAUAUCUUUGGGAAGUCUGCCUGAGAGGCAGGAGGCCUGUGCUUACGGUGACGACUCUGGGAAUGGAGAACUCCCCCUUAGCAUAGUUCAGGGUCAAGUGUUACCUGCUAGCAAGUUCAUAUCUUGGACGCCAGCCACUGGGCCUCUUGCUCUCCCUUCUAGGGCCCUGGGAGAGGAAUAAGCUGCCAGAGGACCCUAAUCACAUGCAUGCUGUCAUCUGGAAAUGAUUACAGGGGCUGCACAGUUGGAGGAACUGGAAGUGACCAGGGGAUACAAUUGCUGUCAAUCUGUCUUCCUUUUGUGUGGAAGCUUUUGUCAACAACUUCUGCUUCCAUCUCAUUAGCCACUAAUGAGGUGAUUGGAAACUAGGAGCAAAAGCUUUGUUGGUCCCAUGUUCCGUCGUCGUUGUUGUCGUCGUUGUCAUCGUCGUCAUCGUCGUUGUUGUCAUCAUCAUCAUCAUCAUCAUCAUCAUCAUCUAUUGUAGCCAUAGAAAUUAGCAAUGAUUGACAGUCAGAAGGAUGCUGGCAUUCAAAUGUCUUAUAGCAUCUGGCAGGCUCUGUAGAGCCUCUGAUCCAGGUAUCUUCUGUUUCCAGAAAUCAGAUUUCCGUACCCUUCCCACUAAUGGGAGACAUUUAAAUGAAUAGAGCAGAGGAAAUUCUAUGUAAAGCUAUGUUUGCCUUAACUGAGAGAUGAAUAGAUCUGAAUUACUAGGUGUUUUUUGUAUUAACCUUUGGUAAGUUGUUCAUGAUAACUUAGGCUCAUAGAUGAAAUUGGAUUAUGAUCUACAUUUUACACACAUUCCCAUUUCUUUAUUGAAAGUGAUUGAGUAUUUGUAUAAGAAAAAUUGGGCUUUAAAAAAAUAUACAUGGGGCAGGGGGUGUUGAUGCAGAGCAGCAAAAUGGCUUAGAGGAUAAAGAUGCUUGCCUGUAAAUCUGAGAUGUAGAACCUACGUGGUGGAAGAAGAGAAACACCCUUCUCAAGUUGUCCUCUGGCCCCCACAUGUGUGCCCCAUUCCCACAUGAAUAAUUACAUAUAAUAAUAAAAAUAUAUUGGGCUGGGCAA